GACGAACGCUGGCGGCGUGCUUAACACAUGCAAGUCGAACGGAAAGGCCCUGCUUUUUUGGGGUGCUCUAGUGGCGAACGGGUGAGUAACACGUGAGUAACCUGCCCCUGCCUUUGGGGUAACUUCAGGAAACUGGGGCUAAUACCAGCUAGGAGCUCCUGCUGCAUGGUGGGGGUUGGAAAGUUUCGGCGGUUGGUGGUGGAAUCGCGGCUUAUCAGCUCGUUGGGGGGGUAGUGGCUUACCAAGGCGUUGACGGGUAGCCUGCCUGGGAGGGUGAGCGGACACGAUAGAACUGGAAUGAGACCCAGACCAGAAUGGGACGCAGGGGUGGAGAAGAGUAUACAGUGGGCGGGAGCCUGAUGUGACAACGCAGUGUCCGGUAAGUCGUCCUUCGGGUUGUAAAGCGAUUUUGCCUGAGACGAAGCGUGAGUGACGGUAAUGGGUGAAGAAGCACCGGCUAACUACGUG
rnacentral:rRNA from 1 species